CCGAACCGUCGCAGUUAUAGCCGAAAAAAACCAAAAUCAUAGGACCCAGAACCCAGCUCCUCUUCUUCUUCUCAAAGACAGCCAAAUCGGACCCUAAAUCACAAAACAUUCAGGCGAGAGUGCCUCAUUCUCGCCUCAUGCAUCUUCUCUCUCUCUUUGUCACCAUAUUUGUAACAAUCUCUAACAAAUUCUCCCUCCCCAUCCCUUUCGCACGUGUUGGAAGCCUCCAGAAGGCAUAUGCUUGAUGAAUAUGGAGCGUAGAUUCGAUUUCAAUGAAUCGCAGCCCUUCAUUCAUCAGGUUGGUUCCUGAUAAGUAGAGAGAACUUUGGAGGAUUUUCCGAAGGGGGGAUGGAGAGAAAAGGGCCAAGAGAUUUCAAUUCUAACAUAGAAGGGAUAUGAAAGAGACAUAGUGGUUCGAUUUCUCUUGCAUAUUUACUCCUCCAUUUUAUUUCGCUUUGGAUUUCUGGUGUCAAGUAUGGAGUUCGAGUGAGUCGUUUGUCGAUUCGAGUUCCGAUCGAGGCUCGUUCGAGAUUGCUGGCUGCUUUCGCUUGGCUGCUGCGUGAUUCAAAUUUUCACUGUCGAGGUCUCUUGUAUUUCCGCCCCUGAAAUUAAUAGAAAUUUUUAGCAUCCAGGUUUAUUUCCCCUCCUUUACUACUUUGUUUAUAUGGUUUAAAACAUGGUUAGGAGAUUCAGUCUCGUAGGAGCUGAGAUUUAUGUGAUGUCGAUGUGGUAAGCCACAUUUUGAUAACUUUAUUACUGGUAAGGCAUUUUAAUUAAAGCGUGGUUAGUUGUGAAACUAUUAGCUGAAUUUCAUUCUAGUAACAUGCUCUUCGUGAUCUUUUAUGAGUGUUCAGUUUGCCCUUCUCAGCUGGAGCCUGAAAUAGUGCUGAGAUGAGUGACAUUUUUCUGCCUAGUGAAGGCUUGAUGCUCUGAAUUGGUUGAUGCCCCUUACCCUGUUUAUGUCCUUUUUCCUAACCGAUAGUCCUGUUGGAUUUUGCUAUUCCCUUGAAUAGAAUUUGCUGGCAUCUCUUCUCUGCUUGCUAAGUUUAGUCUUCUUCUCCGUUUGUGAUAUAGAGUUGUAACCGUAAAGGAGAAAAAGCAGUUGGUGUUGGAAUUCAUGUGUCAAAGCUAGAGAAAUUGUGAACAUUAACCGUUUGGGUGUAAAUCCUAUGUGCUUGAGUUAAUAUUUUGUAAACCCGAAAGUCUUAGCUUCAAGUUGUACCGUUCUAUUGCUGAAAUCUGCUCUAAUUUCUGGCUCUGUAUUACAUUUGAGAACAUUGGUUUGAGCACUUGGUAUCCUCUGAUUGUUUGUUCUACUCCCUAUUCAUUGUUUUCAAAUUGUGAGUGUGUCAUUGGAGAUUUUUGUGCUAGUUAUAGACUAAUGCAUGUCAUUCUUU
rnacentral:lncRNA from 1 species